rnacentral:rRNA from 1 species
AGAGUUUGAUCCUGGCUCAGAACGAACGCUGGCGGCGCGCUUAACACAUGCAAGUCGAACGGGGUCAUUAUGAAGUAGCAAUACGGAUUGAUGACUUAGUGGCGAACGGGUGAGUAAUACAUAGGCAACCUGCCCUUAGGAUUGGGAUACUCCCGAGAAAUCGGGCACAAUACCGAAUAUGAUUACGAGGUGAAAUUCCUUGUGAUAAAAGCUGCAAGCAAUUGCAGCACCUGAGGAGGGGCCUGUGGCCUAUCAGCUUGUUGGUGAGGUAACGGCUCACCAAGGCUAAGACGGGUAGCCGGACUGAGAGGUCGAUCGGCCACACUGGAACUGAGACACGGUCCGGACUCCUACGGGAGGCAGCAGUGGGGAAUCUUGCGCAAUGGGCGAAAGCCUGACGCAGCCAUGCCGCGUGAAUGAUGAAGGUCUUAGGAUUGUAAAAUUCUUUCACCGGGGACGAUAAUGACGGUACCCGGAGAAGAAGCCCCGGCUAACUUCGUGCCAGCAGCCGCGGUAAUACGAGGGGGGCUAGCGUUGCUCGGAAUUACUGGGCGUAAAGGGAGCGUAGGCGGACAUUUAAGUCAGGGGUGAAAUCCCGGGGCUCAACCUCGGAAUUGCCUUUGAUACUGGGUGUCUUGAGUGUGAGAGAGGUAUGUGGAACUCCGAGUGUAGAGGUGAAAUUCGUAGAUAUUCGGAAGAACACCAGUGGCGAAGGCGACAUACUGGCUCAUUACUGACGCUGAGGCUCGAAAGCGUGGGGAGCAAACAGGAUUAGAUACCCUGGUAGUCC